UGAGACAUGUUUCCUGUUUUUUUUAAGUUUUUGAAGUUUUUUUAUUUUUGUCCCGACCAUAACACACAGAUGAGUUUUUGGGAAGUUUUUUUUUUCUUUUAAAAUUUUGCUUUUUUCUGAAAAAAAUAGUUAUGAAUUUUGUUUGUUGACCACACCGAAUAACUCGAACGCGUCCUCUGCGUUCUCCGCUGUCUUUCAGCUGCGUAACCUAGCGACCGGGCGGUGCCUCGUGGCUCAGGGCCGAGCCAGCCAGAAGGGCGGAGUCGUCGUCCUGCGGCCGUGUGACCCCCGAGACCCCGAACAGGACUGGGCCUACGAUGAGGAGGGUCAGCUGGUCCUGGCAGGUCUGCUGUGUCUGGACGUGUCAGAGGUCAGGACCUUUGACCCCCCCCGGCUGAUGAAGUGUCAUGGUUCGGGGGGGUCCCAGCAGUGGAGUCUGGGGAAGUCUAACCGGCUGUACCAGGUCUCCGUGGGUCAGUGUCUGUCCGUCGCCCAGCCCGUCGGGCCCAAGGGUUACGUCUCCAUGGCGAUCUGCGAUGCCUUGCGGGCGCAGCAGUGGCAGCUAGAGGGCUGAGGACGAGGACGAAGACAUCACUUUUAACGUGACGUUUUCUUUUAAAGACAAUCAGGUUUUAUGGACACUUUGAGUUUUCUCUCAGGACCUUUUAUUCACUUUUUAAAGGUUCCAGCAAGGUUCCAGUCCUGGAAUAUCCUGGAAUAGAUUGAAUGUUAGAGGGGAAAGGCAGUUUCAGGCCUUGAAAGUCCUGGAGCGGGCCCCUGUGUAAGCGUGCAGACAAUAACCCGGGAUGGUCUUGGUCUUCAGAAGACGAUCAGGUGGUUUCUGUCCGUGUUGAAACAAAUCCUGGAAGUGCCAUUGAAAGUCAGUGAAAUCUUUUCCAGGAGGUGGGGGACUGAUGAUGACCUGUAACAUAUCUGUGAUGUCAGCUGAUCAGCUGAUCACCCUUUGUGUCAUUUCUCAUCAAUAAAUCUCCUCAUCAGUCCAUUAA